rnacentral:rRNA from 1 species
UACGGGGGGGGUAAGCGUUGUUCGGAAUUACUGGGCGUAAAGGGCUCGUAGGCGGCCAACUAAGUCGGACGUGAAAUCCCUCAGCUUAACUGGGAACUGCGUCCGAUACUGGAUGGCUUGGAUUUGGGAGAGGGAUGCGGAAUUCCAGGUGUAGCGGUGAAAUGCGCAGAUAUCAGGAGGAACACCGGUGGCGAAGGCGGCAUCCUGGACCGACAUUGACGCUGAGGAGCGAAAGCUAGGGGAGCAAACGGG